rnacentral:rRNA from 1 species
UACGUAGGCAGCAAGCGUUGUUCGGAGUUACUGGGCGUAAAGGGUGUGUAGGCGGUUCUCUAAGUUUGGUGUGAAAUCUCCCGGCUCAACUGGGAGGGUGCGCCGAAAACUGGGGGGCUAGAGUACUGGAUGGGAGAGUGGAAUUCCUGGUGUAGCGGUGAAAUGCGUAGAUAUCAGGAGGAACACCUGUGGUGUAGACGGCUCUCUGGACAGUAACUGACGCUGAGACACGAAAGCGUGGGGAGCAAACAGG